GAGAGAGAGAGAGAGAGAAACGGAAAAAAAUGAACAGUGAAGUAGGAGUCACAGUUAGUGAAAUGCAUAUAUGUGUGGAAGACAGUUUAAGUGCAGUAAAAAAAAAGUAGAUGAACUACUGAAAUCUGUUUCAAUCCUAAGUGUAGUGAUCUGGCAAUAAGUAGUUAAGGACCACAAAUGAUUAUUCCUUCUACCUUUAAC
rnacentral:misc_RNA from 1 species